rnacentral:rRNA from 1 species
CUAGGAAUAUUGGACAAUGGGCGAAAGCCUGAUCCAGCCAUGCCGCGUGAGUGAAGAAGGCCUUCGGGUUGUAAAGCUCUUUUAAUAGUGACGAUAAUGACGGUAACUAUAGAAAAAGUCCCGGCUAACUUCGUGCCAGCAGCCGCGGUAAUACGAAGGGGACUAGCGUUGUUCGGAUUUACUGGGCGUAAAGCGCGUGUAGGCUGUCUAUCAAGUUAGGGGUGAAAUCCCCGGGCUCAACCCGGGAAUUGCCUUUAAGACUGAUAGGCUAGAGCAAAAUAGAGGAUAACGGAACUCCCAGUGUAAAGGUGGAAUUUGUAGAUAUUGGGAAGAACACCAGUUGCGAAAGCGGUUAUCUGGAUUUUGGCUGACGCUGAGAUGCGAAAGUGUGGGGAGCAAACA